rnacentral:ncRNA from 1 species
GUCAUUAAUAGAUUUAUUAACGCAAGACAGUUGAGAAUCUCCCUUUUGUGACAAUUAAAAAUUAUUUAGAAGCAUUGUCAACAAUCAGCGUUGCGUGGCAUUAGUCGAAACGUUUGUGAGAUGAUGUGGAAUAGGUUAAUCGUAAGACCUUAGUUUGUAAAAACUUAAAAUUGAUCUAUUAAAUGUUAGUUUCUGAAUUUUCGUAUUUGAUAGUUACGGUAAU